rnacentral:rRNA from 1 species
GACGAACGCUGGCGGCGUGCCUAAUACAUGCAAGUCGAGCGCAGGAAAUCGACGGAACCCUUCGGGGGGAAGUCGACGGAAUGAGCGUCGGACGGGUGAGUAACACGUAAAGAACCUGCCCUCAGGUCUGGGAUAACCACGAGAAAUCGGGGCUAAUACCGGAUGGGUCAUCGGACCGCAUGGUCCGAGGAUGAAAGGCGCUUCGGCGUCGCCUGGGGAUGGCUUUGCGGUGCAUUAGCUAGUUGGUGGGGUAAUGGCCCACCAAGGCGACGAUGCAUAGCCGACCUGGGAGGGUGAUCGGCCACACUGGGACUGAGACACGGCCCAGACUCCUACGGGAGGCAGCAGUAGGGAAUCUUCCACAAUGGACGCAAGUCUGAUGGAGCAACGCCGCGUGAACGAUGAAGGCCUUCGGGUCGUAAAGUUCUGUUGUAAGGGAAGAACAAGUGCCGCAGGCAAUGGCGGCACCUUGACGGUACCUUGCGAGAAAGCCACGGCUAACUACGUGCCAGCCGCCGCCGUAA